rnacentral:tRNA from 1 species
GACCGCCUAGCUCAGUUGGUUAGAGCGACCGGUUUACAUCCGGUAGGUCAGGGGUUCGAAACCCUUGGCGGUCACUA